GAUGAACGCUGGCGGCGUGCCUAAUACAUGCAAGUCGAGCGAACGGACGAGAAGCUUGCUUCUCUGAUGUUAGCGGCGGACGGGUGAGUAACACGUGGAUAACCUACCUAUAAGACUGGGAUAACUUCGGGAAACCGGAGCUAAUACCGGAUAAUAUUUUGAACCGCAUGGUUCAAAAGUGAAAGACGGUCUUGCUGUCACUUAUAGAUGGAUCCGCGCUGCAUUAGCUAGUUGGUAAGGUAACGGCUUACCAAGGCAACGGUGCAUAGCCGACCUGAGAGGGUGAUCGGCCACACUGGAACUGAGACACGGUCCAGACUCCUACGGGAGGCAGCAGUAGGGAAUCUUCCGCAAUGGGCGAAAGCCUGACGGAGCAACGCCGCGUGAGUGAUGAAGGUCUUCGGAUCGUAAAACUCUGUUAUUAGGGAAGAACAUAUGUGUAGGUAACUGUGCACAUCUUGACGGUACCUAAUCAGAAAGCCACGGCUAACUACGUGCCAGCAGCCGCGGUAAUACGUAGGUGGCAAGCGUUAUCCGGAAUUAUUGGGCGUAAAGCGCGCGUAGGCGGUUUUUUAAGUCUGAUGUGAAAGCCCACGGCUCAACCGUGGAGGGUCAUUGGAAACUGGAAAACUUGAGUGCAGAAGAGGAAAGUGGAAUUCCAUGUGUAGCGGUGAAAUGCGCAGAGAUAUGGAGGAACACCAGUGGCGAAGGCGACUUUCUGGUCUGUAACUGACGCUGAUGUGCGAAAGCGUGGGGAUCAAACAGGAUUAGAUACCCUGGUAGUCCACGCCGUAAACGAUGAGUGCUAAGUGUUAGGGGGUUUCCGCCCCUUAGUGCUGCAGCUAACGCAUUAAGCACUCCGCCUGGGGAGUACGACCGCAAGGUUGAAACUCAAAGGAAUUGACGGGGACCCGCACAAGCGGUGGAGCAUGUGGUUUAAUCCGAAGCAACGCGAAGAACCUUACCAAAUCUUGACAUCCUUUGACAACUCUAGAGAUAGAGCCUUCCCCUUCGGGGGACAAAGUGACAGGUGGUGCAUGGUUGUCGUCAGCUCGUGUCGUGAGAUGUUGGGUUAAGUCCCGCAACGAGCGCAACCCUUAAGCUUAGUUGCCAUCAUUAAGUUGGGCACUCUAAGUUGACUGCCGGUGACAAACCGGAGGAAGGUGGGGAUGACGUCAAAUCAUCAUGCCCCUUAUGAUUUGGGCUACACACGUGCUACAAUGGACAAUACAAAGGGCAGCGAAACCGCGAGGUCAAGCAAAUCCCAUAAAGUUGUUCUCAGUUCGGAUUGUAGUCUGCAACUCGACUACAUGAAGCUGGAAUCGCUAGUAAUCGUAGAUCAGCAUGCUACGGUGAAUACGUUCCCGGGUCU
rnacentral:rRNA from 1 species